AAAAACCCAGGCGAUGGGGCUCGCUUAUUUGCCUGAAGGCUGAUGGCUCCUACCUUCAA
rnacentral:ncRNA from 2 species